rnacentral:rRNA from 1 species
CCAGCACCCGCGGUAAUUCCAGCUCCAAUAGCGUAUAUUAAAGUUGUUGCAGUUAAAAAGCUCGUAGUUGGAUUUGUGGUGUACUUCGGCGGCCCGUCACUAUGUGAUGGAGCUUGCUGAAGUCGCCAUCCUUGGGUGGAUCCUGUGUGGCAUUUAGUUGUCGUGCAGGGGAUGCCCAUCGUUUACUGUGAAAAAAUUAGAGUGUUCAAAGCAGGCUUAUGCCGUUGAAUAUAUUAGCAUGGAAUAAUAGGAUAGGACCUUGGUACUAUUUUGUUGGUUUGCGCACCAAGGUAAUGAUUAAUAGGGACAGUUGGGGGUAUUCGUAUUUCAUUGUCAGAGGUGAAAUUCUUGGAUUUUUGAAAGACGAACUACUGCGAAAGCAUUUACCAAGGAUGUUUUCAUUAAUCAAGAACGAAAGU